rnacentral:rRNA from 1 species
UAGGCGGAAUGUUGCGUCAAGGAUGUCGACGCUUACCCUACGGCUACACGCUGCUAAGUCAGCCACGAAUGGUUCUACGCCGUUUAUUCGGUAAGACUCCAUGGAGGGUGUUAGACCCGUGUGAGCGUGUUCUGAAAGCUGUAUGGGCAUGUCGAUAUCUUGAGAGUCGCGUUGUUUGAACAUGCAGCGCUAAGCAGGUCGUAGACUCGAUCUAAGGCUAAAUAUAUCCACAGAACCGAUAGUGAACAAGUACCGUGAGGGAAAGUUGAAAAGCACUCCGUAACGGAGAGUCAAAAGACCGU